rnacentral:sRNA from 1 species
UGGAAUAAUAGAAUAAUGUGCUUUAUACC